CGAACGCUGGCGGCGUGCUUACCACAUGCAAGUCGAACGGAAAGGCCCUGCUUUUGUGGGGUGCUCGAGUGGCGAACGGGUGAGUAACACGUGAGUAACCUGCCCUUGACUUUGGGAUAACUUCAGGAAACUGGGGCUAAUACCGGAUAGGAGCUCCUGCUGCAUGGUGGGGGUUGGAAAGUUUCGGCGGUUGGGGAUGGACUCGCGGCUUAUCAGCUUGUUGGUGGGGUAGUGGCUUACCAAGGCUUUGACGGGUAGCCGGCCUGAGAGGGUGACCGGCCACAUUGGGACUGAGCUACGGCCCAGACUCCUACGGGAGGCAGCGGUGGGGAAUAUUGCACAAUGGGCGGAAGCCUAAUGCAGCAACGCCGCGUGCGGGAUGACGGCCUUCGGGUUGUAAACCGCUUUCGCCUGUGACGAAGCGUGAGUGACGGUAAUGGGUAAAGAAGCACCGGCUAACUACGUG
rnacentral:rRNA from 1 species